rnacentral:rRNA from 1 species
AUUGAACGCUGGCGGCAGGCCUAACACAUGCAAGUCGAGCGGAUGAAGAGAGCUUGCUCUCUGAUUCAGCGGCGGACGGGUGAGUAAUGCCUAGGAAUCUGCCUGGUAGUGGGGGACAACGUUUCGAAAGGAACGCUAAUACCGCAUACGUCCUACGGGAGAAAGUGGGGGAUCUUCGGACCUCACGCUAUCAGAUGAGCCUAGGUACGAUUAGCUAGUUGGUGAGGUAAAGGCUCACCAAGGCGACGAUCGUUAACUGGUCUGAGAGGAUGAUCAGUCACACUGGAACUGGGACACGGGCCAGACUCCUACGGGAGGCAGCAGUGGGGAAUAUUGGACAAUGGGCGAAAGCCUGAUCCAGCCAUGCCGCGUGUGUGAAGAAGGUCUUCGGAUUGUAAAGCACUUUAAGUUGGGAGGAAGGGCAGUAAGUUAAUACCUUGCUGUUUUGACGUUACCGACAGAAUAAGCACCGGCUAACUUCGUGCCAGCAGCCGCCGUAAAAC